CUGACUUCCAGGGUUCCACCUUGGCCAGCGAAUGGAAGGAGGAAAAACAUCAAAACUGAUUUUAUGUCACCCCUUUUGAGAAGCUGGUUUGAAAGUCAGAUCACCAUCCUGGACCAGGAAACAAGCACAGAUAUCCACAGGAGCCAGAGAGCCGGGGGGAAGGAUUAAAGCAAGAGAAGAGUAAGAAAAUCAACAGCCCAAGUGUGACACUAGAGACAGGAAGGAGUGGUGGGGUGGCGACUAACCAGGGAAUACUUGGCUUCAGGGGACCGUUUAAUUACUCAGUUUCAGCUGGUGCCUACUAUGUUAAGAAUACAUGUUUGGGCUUUCUAGACACUUUGAUCUUUCAGGAAGAGCAGAUUUUGUGAAGAA
rnacentral:lncRNA from 1 species